AGUGAACGCUGGCGGUAGGCCUAACACAUGCAAGUCGAACGGCAGCACAGUAAGAGCUUGCUCUUACGGGUGGCGAGUGGCGGACGGGUGAGGAAUACAUCGGAAUCUACUUUUUCGUGGGGGAUAACGUAGGGAAACUUACGCUAAUACCGCAUACGACCUACGGGUGAAAGCAGGGGAUCUUCGGACCUUGCGCGAUUGAAUGAGCCGAUGUCGGAUUAGCUAGUUGGCGGGGUAAAGGCCCACCAAGGCGACGAUACGUAGCUGGUCUGAGAGGAUGAUCAGCCACACUGGAACUGAGACACGGUCCAGACUCCUACGGGAGGCAGCAGUGGGGAAUAUUGGACAAUGGGCGCAAGCCUGAUCCAGCCAUACCGCGUGAGUGAAGAAGGCCUUCGGGUUGUAAAGCCCUUUUGUUGGGAAAGAAAAGCAGCAGGUUAAUACCCCGCUGUUCUGACGGUACCCAAAGAAUAAGCACCGGCUAACUUCGUG
rnacentral:rRNA from 1 species